CAUGCCGUAAACGUUGGGAACUAGGUGUGGGGUCCAUUCCACGGGUCCUGUGCCGGAGCUAACGCAUUAAGUUCCCCGCCUGGGGAGUACGGCCGCAAGGCUAAAACUCAAAGGAAUUGACGGGGGCCCGCACAAGCGGCGGAGCAUGCGGAUUAAUUCGAUGCAACGCGAAGAACCUUACCAAGGCUUGACAUGGAUCCGAUUCUGGUAGAGAUAUCAGUUCCGUAAGGCGGGUUCACAGGUGG
rnacentral:rRNA from 1 species